GUAAGGACGCGUAGGCGGGAAGCCAAGUCUGAUGUGAAAUCCUAUGGUGCCGUAGAACUGCAUUGGAAACUGGUUACCUAGAGCAAGGGAGGGGGAGAUGGAAUUAGUGGUGUAGGGGUAAAAUCCGUAGAUAUCACUAGGAAUACCGAAAGCGAAGGCGAUCUCCUGGAACAAUACUGACGCUAAGGCGUGAAAGCGUGGGGAGCAAACGGGAUUAGAUACCCCGGUAGUCCACGCCCUAAACGAUGUUCACUAGUCGUCGGAAUGCUAGUCAUUUCGGUGAUGCACUUAACAGAUUAAGUGAACCGCCUGGGGAGUACGGUCGCAAGAUUAAAACUCAAAGGAAUAGACGGGGACCCGCACAAGUGGUGGAGCAUGUGGUUUAAUUCGAAGAUACGCGAAGAACCUUACCUAGCCUUGACAUUGAAGAAACACUUUAGAGAUAGAGUGGUGCCCUUCGGGGAAUCUGAAAACAGGUGCUGCACGGCUGUCGUCAGCUCGUGUCGUGAGAUGUUAGGUUAAGUCCCGCAACGAGCGCAACCCUCGUCCUUAGUUGCCAGCAGGUUAAGCUGGGCACUUUAAGGAGACUGCCUUCGCAAGGAGGAGGAAGGUGAGGACGACGUCAAGUCAUCAUGGCCCUUAUGGCUAGGGCUACACACGUGCUACAAUGGGGCGUACAGAGAGUUGCGAUACCGCGAGGUGGAGCCAAUCUCAUAAAGCGUCUCUCAGUUCGGAUUGGAGUCUGCAACUCGACUCCAUGAAGCUGGAAUCACUAGUAAUCGUAGAUCAGUAAUGCUACGGUGAAUACGUU
rnacentral:rRNA from 1 species